rnacentral:rRNA from 1 species
CAGUAGCCGCGGGAAUACGUAGGUGGCGAGCGUUGUCCGGAUUUAUUGGGCGUAAAGGGAGUGUAGGCGGUCUUUUAAGUCUGAUGUGAAAGCCCACGGCUCAACCGUGGAGGGUCAUUGGAAACUGGGAGACUUGAGUGCAGAAGAGGAGAGCGGAAUUCCAUGUAUAGCGGUGAAAUGCGUUGAGAUCGGAAAGAACACCAACGGCGAAAGCACUCCGCUGGGCCGACACUGACACUGAGAGGCGAAAGCUAGGGGAGCAAAUGGGAUUAGAUACCCGCGUAGUCCCUGUCUCUUAUAC